rnacentral:rRNA from 1 species
UACAGAGGUCCCAAGCGUUGUUCGGAUUCACUGGGCGUAAAGGGUGCGUAGGUGGUCGGGUAAGUCUGAUGUGAAAUCUCCGAGCUUAACUCGGAAAUGGCAUUGGAUACUAUUCGGCUAGAGGGUUUGAGGGGGGGACUGGAAUACUUGGUGUAGCAGUGAAAUGCGUAGAUAUCAAGUGGAACACCAGUGGCGAAGGCGAGUCCCUGGAAAACUCCUGACACUGAGGCACGAAAAGCUAGGGGAGCAAACAGG